AUUGAAUGCUAGCGGGAUGCUUUACACAUGCAAGUCGAACGAGUGGCGGACGGGUGCGUAAUAUAUCGGAACGUGCCCAGUAGCGGGGGCUAACUACUCUAAAGAGUGGCUAAUACCGCAUACUCUUGGAGCUGCCGCUAUCGGAUUAGCUAGGUGGUGGGGUAAAGUCUCACCAAGGAAACGAUCAGUAGCUGGUUUGAGAGGACGACCAGCCACACUGGGACUGAGACACGGCCCAGACUCCGACGAGAGGCAGCAGUGGGGAAUUUGGGAAAAUGGGGGAAACCCUGAUCCAGCCAUCCCGCGUGUAUGAGAAGGCCUUCGGGUUGUAAAGUACUUUUGGCAGAGAAGCGGUAUCUGCAGAAUAAGCACCGGCUAACUACGUGCCAGCAGCCGCGGUAAUUC
rnacentral:rRNA from 1 species